CUGAGCUUGUCUCAUCUUUAUAUAUAUGACAAAUAUGAACCAAAGAAGAGAGGCCCAUCUGGGGUGGGUUACCUUGAAGGUCCAAGCAUGUCUAGUUCCUUCUCUGACUGAGUUCAGCUUUCCCAAAUCUUUCCUCUUGCAUAUUGAAGUGUUUGUAUGAAGGUGGUUGACUGGCUGAUAAGUUCAUAUUCUGAUGUAGUUGGCUACUUUGUUGUCUUAUACUUGUUUGGCCCAUACAUCUGUUUUUUUCCUUUUUUUUGUGAUAUUCAAAAACCUUUUCAUAUAUAUCGGCCUCUCAUUUAGAUCUGGAAAGUGGGUUAGGUUGUUUCCCCCAUUAACUUAUAUAUAUGAUAUGGGUCAACAGGGAGAAUGUAAGAUCUGGCAUUGGCUAUUAACUGGUCCUUGUUGUCUAGGGUUGCCUUUAGGUAAUAUCAUUAUCUACCAGCAUAUUUCACAUUUCGCCGAUGCAGCUCCUUAAUGGUUUAAGGAUAAAUAUUCUUUAUUUGAAUAUAGAUGACCUACACAUAAGAUUGAAAUACAAUGAAAGAGUAUUUUAAGUUUAUAUAGGGGGUGUAACUUGACCAUGCAAACCAUAAGUUUUCCCAAAUUUGGGCAGGUUGUGUCGGAUCAUGGACUCAGGCUUAAAAAUCUUAAGACAACCUGAAUUUGGAUUAAACAUGUAUUUAGUUGUCAAGCAUCUUGAAUAGCUUCAGGUGGUUCAUAAUUUUUAAAUAUGCAAAAAAUUUAAACAUUUAUUUUUGAAGUAUUAAUUUCUGUUUAGACCAUUUGUGAGGUAGACAUAGGAUUGGUAAAUCUUAUAUGAAAAUUUUGGUUUGCAUUUUUUGUAUGGACUUUUAUUCUAAGUCAAUCUAAGAAAUGACAUGAGGGUUUUAUCAAGAAGCUAUUUGACAAUAACAAAGUGCUGGAAAUACCAAGGAGCUAGGUAGAAAUUUAGAAGUGAAGAAAAGAUAAAUGGUGUUCUGAUAUCAGAUAUUUAAUGCAAUAAUUGCAAGUUCACACCUAAAACUAAGUGUAUAUCUUGUCUAAUGCUUAUGAUUUGGUCAACAUCUAGAAGCCAUUGGAGGUACUCUGAGAGUGUGCACCUAUAUUUCUAAGUGUCCAAUCUUUGUUUGUUAGGAAAUGACUGAACGAUGUGUUUAAGAUCAAUGGGGUAAGUAUCUGAUGAGUAUUAAUUUCAGAUAUGUGAGGCUGACCUAGCAUGUAAUAUCUGAUAUACUAAUUUGACUUCUUUUAUCUAGUAUAACUCUUUAUGUUCCUAAUAGGAUUGCAUUAUCAUUUGCAGAUUCCAAAGACCUCCCGGAGCAUUGCCCUCUUCCAUGCUAGGAUUUGAGGCUCUCACUGGUGGCUUGGAUGAUUUUGCUUUUGAAGAUUACCUUAACUUGCCACAGGACUCGGAAACAUUCAAGCCACUGGACAUGCAUCACGGGAUGGAAGUUCGCCUUGGCAUAUCAAAAGGACCUGUUUGUCCAAGUUUCAUCUGAAGUUAUUGUUCUAUGUUGGGUGACACUGGCAACGUUUGCUUCAUGAAACAUGUUAUGAGACGCCAUUUGAUAUUUUGAACUUGGUUCGACAGUGACAUUGAGAUUUAUCUAAAUGUACUUGAACAAGUGAAAUGAUGAAUCAGGACUUCUUGCGCUUGCAUUAGCAUAUAUGAAAAGCUGAGAGAUUCAUAUG